UACGAAGGGUGCAAACGUUGCUCGGAAUCAUUGGGCGUAAAGCGCACGUAGGCGGUUCGUUAUGUCGGAUGUGAAAGCCCUUGGCUUAACCGAGGAAGUGCAUCCGAAACUGGCGAGCUAGAGUACGAAAGAGGAUCGCGGAAUUCCCGGUGUAGAGGUGAAAUUCGUAGAUAUCGGGAGGAACACCGGUGGCGAAGGCGGCGAUCUGGGUCGAUACUGACGCUGAGGUGCGAAAGCGUGGGGAGCAAACAGG
rnacentral:rRNA from 1 species